AUGAUUUCAGUUCCCUUCUUCCUUCCUGCACGUCAGACAGUGUUUGAAGGAAGGAGUCUACCCUUUGGCAUAGUUCACCUUGACACCAGGAACACGAGUGCUCAUCCUGAGCCCCUUGGUGCCUGUCUACCCCCAUGUGCCUGGUACUCCUUCCUUGGGGACGUCAGUCUCCUGGAUGAUGUUGUUCUACUUGACCUGCCGGUGUCGUCCAUGAAUCCUUUCAGGGAUUGGCGGGUACGUUUAGCGGGUAGGAGCCUCUUGUCUCUCCCCCACCUCCGUUGCUUCGGAGGGACCAGUGGCAGCUGCUGGGGUUGUGCUGAUCGUUUGGUCCAGAUCAUCAGCACCGCUCUGAGCCUGCCUUCCAGUGACUGAAGUUUUAAGACAACUGUUCAUUCAUGCGUGCUUCAACUCCAGUUUGUCAGCAAAGCAGAAUAGAAGAUCAGUCCACGAGAAGUCACGAGAGUCAUUUCCUUGCUAACAGUCAAGAAAGUGAUUUUCAACAUGCUUGUUGUGCUUCUGAGAGAAUGCAAAAGAAGAUGGGAAGAACACAGGCUUCCUAGAUGGGUCACUGGCUGGCAAAGUUGGAUUUUAGCCACACAAUGUGUUCAUAGUUGACCUAUUUCAGUACAUCACACAUAUGGGUUUCAAUAACCAAGGAUAAACAGGGCAGAAUGCAAUAAUGAUGACAGCUCAUUCAACUGAGAAAUCUUCAGGCACAGGUUUUUCUUAAUCCUACAAUCCUAUAUUAAACUGUAGCCGAGAGCUCAUCAGAGGCUCCCGGUCAUGUUUAUGGCCCUGGAUUUCUAAUCUGUCCACCUCUGCUCUGCCUUAAGAUCUCAGGUGACCAGGUCUCCCCAGGUCUCAAGGGCCUGUCACAUGCCAUAUUACCUUCCUGUAUAUUUUGACAAUUCUAUCUAAAUUCUUCAGUGAUCUCUCUUAAGAUAAAACCCUAACUAACAUGUUUCAAUGAUACAGGGGCACUCUUAGGUUAACAAACACCUUCAAAAAUAAUAGUGGCUCUCUGCUGGGGACUGGGGACUGGAUACUAAGCACUACUGAAUCAUCCCUUUUAAUCUUCAGAGCACCCACAUUUCAAAUUUCCCUUUCACAGGUGAAGAAAUGGGGGUUCUACAAGUUUAAGUGCCUUGCCCAAAGUUACAUGGCUGUAAAGAAGCUGAACCAUGAUUUAAAUCCAGAACUCUUGAAUUUCAAAAUCAGUGGCCUUAAUUACUCUUCAUUUGUUUACUUGAUUAUUGUCUGUCUCUGCCUGUCAACUAUUGUGCUCUCAAGAUACAGGAUAAAUAGCCAACAUCAACUGUUGAUGUAUAUCCAUAGAAAAUGAAUCAUUCUAAUAAAUAUGUUCAUCACAGCACUAUUCUCAGUAGCAAAGACAUGAAAUCAACCCAGGUGCCCAUCAACAGAUAAAGAAACCGUGGUACAUGUACACCAUGGAAUACUAUGCAGUCCUGAAAAAAAAUCAUGUUCUUUGUAGCAACAUGGAUGCAGCUGGAAAUCAUUAUCCUAAGCAAACUAAUACAGAAAGGGAAAAUAAAAUACUACAUGGUCUCAUUAAUAAGUGGGAGCUAAACAAUGAGUACCCAUGGAUAUAAAAAUUGGAACAAUACACAUUGGGCAAUACAAGAGGGAGGAGGUAAGGGUUGAAAAAGAAACUGCCUAUUGGGUAAAUGCUCACUGUCUGGGUGACAGAUUCAUUCAUACUCCAAACCUCAGCAUCAGGCAAUAUGCCUCUGUAACACAUCUGCACAUGUAUUCCUGACUCUAAAAUAAAAGUUGAAAAAUGAAAAAAAAAAGGGGGGGUAUCAGAUGGUCCUUAUGCAACCCUGUGCCCUGCCUGCCCCUGGGCUCCUGUGAGAGGCUCGCCCGUGCUGCACUUUCUCAUGGUUUGUGCCAGGCUUGGAUGUGCUUUCUGCUUGUUCACAUGGAAUAGGAGCUCCAUGGGAAAGGGGUGUGAGUAUUUGCUUCACUUUUCUGUCCCCAAACACAGCACAGCAUGGCCUAAAUAAAAUGCGCUUAAUAAAUAUUUGUCAAAAGCGUAAAUAUGAAGAAAAAGUAUUUAAACGUGAAUUAUGAAAUUUUUAAAACGUAGUACUAAGGGAAUGAGAUCAAAUCUCCUAUAUGUGAAUUAUGAAACUUUUUAAAUGUAGUACUAAAGGAACGAGAUCAAAUCUCCUUGUAAUACUUGUUCUUAUUUUUUUUUAUGAAUAGAGGUGAUCGUUACUUGGUGAAAUUCAGUGUUUUAAGUUUAUCAACCUUGAAUACACAUAUACAU
rnacentral:lncRNA from 1 species